rnacentral:rRNA from 1 species
UACGUAGGGUGCAAGCGUUAAUCGGAAUACUGGGCGUAAAGCGUGCGCAGGCGGUUUUGUAAGUUUGUCGUGAAAUCCCCCGGGCUCAACCUGGGAAUGGCGAUGAAGACUGCAAGGCUAGAAUCUGGCAGAGGGGGGGUAGAAUUCCACGUGUAGCAGUGAAAUGCGUAGAGAUGUGGAGGAACACCGAUGGCGAAGGCAGCCCCCUGGGUCAAGAUUGACGCUCAUGCA